rnacentral:misc_RNA from 1 species
UUAAGUUCAGCGGGUAAUCUUGCCUGAUCCGAGGUCGACCAAUAAUAAUUUUGGGUACCGGCAAUCCUUCUCGCAAGACACCAGAACACACUUUGCUGUGCUUGGGCUAACUUCAGACGCCAAUCGGUUUGAAGCAACUGGCCUUCUCCACAGAGGGAGACCGCCAGGAGCUCAUCGCAAGGCAAAGCCUUAUGGUCUUU